rnacentral:sRNA from 1 species
CUCUCCAAGGAUCCCCAAGCCUUUACAUGGUGAACCCAUCAUCACCUCCACCCUCAGGCCUGCUGGGAGGAGAGCAGGGUGGUAUCUGUGCGCAGGCCAGGAAUUAACCUCAGUUAUUUCCCUCUGAUUUAGCUUCUGAGAGAUGCCAGGAACAAGGAGAUCUUCACGUACACCAAGUGAUGCUGUGUGACCUUGCUCCUUAAUUUAAAACGGUUGGUUCAAUAGAGAUGCUUACAGCCUAUAGCUGGGCGAAGAGAGGGAGGCUUGGGGUCUGAAGAGAGACAGCAAGAAGAGGGAGAAGUGGAGAGAAUAGAAGACUCUGCGGGAUAAGGGAUUGUGAGAACUGGCCGUUCGGAUUGGCCACGGCAUAUCUCCAGGUUAUUGACAGGUCCUAACUCAGGUCCAUCGGCUGAGGGUUCAUAACGGCCGGUGAUUACUAGUAGCUUAUAGGGGAGAUCUCUGACCAGCUCCAGUGCUGAUUAAGUCUUACCAAAAGUAUAAAGGUCUUUUAUCUGGGAACUUAAUGACCCGAGGUGGGGUAGAAACCCCUAAGUGAGAUUAAAUAAUUUUUUACAGUUCUCUGCUGAUGGGGAUAGAGUUGCAAACCCUCUUUAAGGGUUCCAGGCAAGAGUGCCUCUCUGCCCAGCACUCUCUCUUCAACGACCUCUGCACCCCAGUGUGUUAGAUCCUGGAAGGCAUGAAUCAGUGGACAUGAGAGGAACAGCUUUUCUCCAUCUCAAGCUCCUCCAUGCCGUGUAGCCUCACUGCAGAUCUAACCUAUCAUAGCUGAGGACUGUGAACCAACUUCCGUGUUUUCCCUUUAUAAAUUGCUUGUCUGAGUACUUCGUUGUAGUCAUGGAAAUCUAGAGCACACAGAGCUCAGUGGUAUGGUAUGUAGAAAACACCCAUCACACGGUCAGCAAUUCUCACCUGCUGUUCAGGUGAUACCACCCCACUCGUGGUAUCAGUUUCGACAUCACCAAAGACACUGAUAACUCUUUCAAGGGAAAGAUGCUACGCUAUACUGACUCGAUGAGCAGAGAAGGUGAACAUGCCGACAGUUUCUUUACUUUAUGACCUGUGCUGGCUGGUUUUGUGUGUCAACUUGACACAAGCUGGAGUUAUCGCAGAGAAAGAAGCCUCCCUUGA